UACGUAGGGCGCAAGCGUUAUCCGGAAUUACUGGGCGUAAAGCGUGCGCAGGCGGUUCGUUGUGUCGGUGGUGAAAGCCCCGGGCUUAACCUGGGAAUGGCCAUGGAAACUGGCGAACUGGAGUGUGGCAGAGGGGGGUGGAAUUCCGCGUGUAGCAGUGAAAUGCGUAGAGAUGCGGAGGAACACCGAUGGCGAAGGCAGCCCCCUGGGCUAGCACUGACGCUCAGGCACGAAAGCGUGGGGAGCAAACAGG
rnacentral:rRNA from 1 species